GUAUGUGAAUGUGUUCUAGAUUUUAAAAUAUCAAACAAUGAAGCAAGGUCUCUAAGGAUGACUUAGGGAGGUAGACAAGUCCAUGAGGAGGAGGCAGAGCAGUAACUUGAUUGGAUAUGUAUUAGAAAGAUGAUUUUAGGAAUGGACUAAAGAGAGUCUAAAGGAUGGUGCCCAGCUGAGCUGGUGAUUGGGAACUGAGAUCUAACUGAGGCCGACUUGCCGAGGUAUGAUAUAUUGGAGACGCAUCUGCUUAGAUGGGAAACUUUUUCUAAUGUGCCUCAGGUCACUGCAUUCAAAAGAAUGAAUGAGCGCUGAGUAGACCUAAAA